AACUGGUGGGGAAUUUUUCGGACGUUGCGAGAGCAUUCGAGAUGAACUGAAAAGGCAAAGACGAUGGGAUGGGAGGUAACAAUGAGAGACCGAAUAAAAUACCAACGCACUGAGUACUAGAACUAGUACUUUACGUCAAGCUUCAGUUAAGAGAGAGGAACUUGGUUCGCGAAUGAAUGACGCGGAAGAGAAUCUCGCUGCCGUUUAUCAUAAAUAUUUGCUCGAAGUAGCUGCGCAAGUUUAUCGAUAUUCUCGAGUUCGUCGCAGUGAAUUGUUAAUUGCCCUCGUUAAUUGUCCGCAUGGGUGAAAUCAGUUCCGCGCGUUACAAAGGGUUGGUGGAAGCAAUUGCCGGCCAGAGGUUUUCCACCAAACCGGCCUGGCUGGCCGGGUGGUUUCAAAGGACCGGAGCUACAUUUUCCAGUGAAAGGUACAAGGGACGUUGCAAACAAGACAACACGGUGGAAAUCUACGUAUCCGUAGCGGAGAGUUUCCCAACGACGCCGACAUGCAUCACGGUAACUUGCCGGGGAAGGUCAUCAGAAGUUGAAGAGUGUCCGCCCGUGUGCAUUACAAAUUAGUGUCUUUGAACUAGUUCCGACCACUGUCAUAGACCACUCAUCCUCACAUCCCAUAUAUCCAAGCUGUUUGUCUCCAACCCGAAAUUUCAUUCAUAGCUUCCGGGCAAUCGCCUCUUCUAUCUUUCGUUGGUUUAAUCAGACUAACGACUUUCGAUGCACGAGAUUCCGUUGAAAUUGUUGGGAAUUUUAUCGUUAAAAACGGAGGUUUCUGGGGAUUGGCGUCUCGUUGUUAUUAACAAUACGCAAUAGGAUGUACUGAUUGAAACUGUACAAAUUAUACGAGGCUGUAAAGAUGACGGAAAUUGAUAAUACACGGUACAAAAGAAAAGCCUCGAUAUUACAUCGUUAGCUUAAAAAAUCUUGGAAAUGUGAAAAGUGAGAAUUUCGAUCGGGUGCUGAAAAUUAUACGAACGUUAUAUGCAAUUUCGUGGUAGAUCGCGGUUUUUGAUAGAAGCGCUCAAGUUUCUUUUAGAGAAACUGAAAAAGGAAACGUACAGAUAGGCGAAACAGUUAAAAACGAGAGUUAAGAAUCGACAGAGUUCGUAGUUCGGAAUUGAGGUUAUGUCGAGGCAAUAUCUCGUUGAACGGAAUAAGAAUAAUAAAAUCAAUAUUUUAUUAUUACAUAUAAUUAUUAUCGUAUUAUUUUAUAUUCUACAAGUCAAAAAAGUCAAUCUAUAAUCAAACGUUUCAUGAAUAUCUCUAUCGAAACAGACCUAACCUCAAUAAUCAAUAUAAAUCGCUAUGGCGUAUAUUCUAUAACGAAGAAAAGCAGCAGAAAAUCAGCGAAUUUCGAAAAUAUUUAAGGAGAAAGAAAUUCCUAGAUGGAAAACUAUUUUAGAUGGAAAAUGUUGAAAGCUCGAGCUCGUGACGCAUUUGAAUCGACAAAAGCGCGAGAACGAAGCAUGAAAAGGGUGUUGUAACUACAGGCGUUGCUCGUUGAGGAAGAAUUCAAUUUGUGCGCGUUUACCGCGCGAGACAAGAGCGCGGUCCCUCUUGGUU
rnacentral:misc_RNA from 1 species